ensembl:lncRNA
CUGCCAGAAACAUUGGCAGCUGUUCUGGCUCUGCUGUUUGCAUGAGACACCUCUGUGGCUGGCGUACAGGGACACAAUCUGUCACUCAACCUUAACUUUAAGACAAAGAGAAAAUUAGAGUGUGCCCUUGCUAUCUAGUCUUGAGACAGAGUGAAAGAACCUUGGAGUGCUAAUUGUGAUGGGAAGUCAACGUCUUCACAGCGCAAGCAGGGAAAAAGGCGUCCCCCACCUUGGUCCCCAAGUCCCCUGGGAUAGGCUCCGGGCUUCCCAUGACCCUGUGUAAGAUAAGCGGUAUAGAAAAUGGAUGGAUGGAUGUUAAUAUGUUUACAGUAUUUAGCAGACCCCCUUGUCUGGAGUGACUUACAGAAAUGCUUUUUUAGUCUCAGAUGACACCAUCAAAAACAUAUCCUCAUGCUAGUUAAAUAGGUCAGAGUCUAAGAAUACCAUCAAGCUAAAACUAUUACAGGAAGUUAGUAAAGAAGUUAGUAGAAAACACAACACACCAGUCAAGAGAUUUUUUAAAUGAAAUAAUUGCUAAUUCAAGUACUUUGUGAAGACAUAAGUCUUCGGGCUUUGUUUGAAGACAGCCAGUGAUUCAGUUGUUCAAUCUGCUAGGGGAAGUUCAUUCUACCACUUGGGUGCUAGGACAGAGAAGUCUUGGUGCAGGUCUUUGUGGUACCAUAAGAAUGGUGUCAAUUGAGCCAUGCUAGUGGCUCAUAGGGAACAUGGUUCAGAGCACAGUGUGAUACAUGAGUUCAGUUAGGUUGGGGCUGGUCUGUUUUUAGCUUUGUAGGCAAGUAUUGGUUUUAAUAAGCCAGUGGAGGGAAGGCAGCAAUUGGGUAGGCAAGCAGAUACGAGGCAAACCACCACCAUGCUGUGCCACCAAUUUCAAGACUUGUGAAAAUAGACAGGAGAGUCUUGUGAUUGACAAUGUCAAGGGGGUUCUGAAAAGUCAAGGAAGUUAAGGACCAAUGACAACUUGGCUGAUCUCUCAGUGUGAAGCUUUUCAGUAACAGCCACAAUGGCAGCGCAUGUGGAGUGUGUUGCUUUGAGCCCAGACUGCAGAAGAUCUUGGUGGUCAUUCUGGAUAAGAAAGAGAGACAACUGAUAGUACACAUUCAAGGAUUUUAGAAAGAAGGACAAAUGUGAUAUUAGUAAGUAGCUGCUGAUGUUUGAGGGAUGGGAUCCUGCUAGCAGGAUGGGACAAGAGAAUCUGCAGAAUCUGUUCUGUAGAAAGAGGAGAAAAGUGUGUCAAAGUGAUAGGAGCACAGGGGGGAAUGUGCAGCACAAGAAUAGGGGUAGGAUAAAAGAUUGGCAGGUUUUGUUAAUCUUUUCACUGAAGUAGUUGUCAAACUCAUGACC